GCUUGCUAACUCCACAACCUCACUAUAAUAAUUUACUGGCAUGAAGAUUAGUGAUUAUAAAGUCGCUGAAUAUCAUUCCUUUCUUUCUAAUUUGAUCAAUCUUCAGUAGCAAAAGAUGGCAGGGGCUCAAUGCUGCGAGAACCCACCAGCGGAGGGGUGUGUGUGUUUGACCUUGGGGGCCUCAAAACGUACGUCUCUGGUCCUUCCACUUCCAAACUUGCCAUCCUUCUCGUCUCGGAUGUUUAUGGUUAUGAAUCACCAAAUCUGAGGUAUGCAUGUGUUAAUUUGUGGUUACAUUUCAAGGGAAGAAGUCAGGUUCACCGUUCUUUGUUUAAUUUGUUUAGUAAUUAAUUAAGGAAGUUCCUAUUUUAUCUUGGGCUGCUACCAAAAUUCAACUGCUGUUGUAUAUGUAGGACAAAGUUGCGGCUGCAGGAUACUAUGUGGUGGUUCCUGAUUUUUUUUAUGGCGAUCCUUAUGAUCCUGAAAAUACGGACAAGCCUUUACCAAUCUGGCGGAACAAUAUGUGUUCAGAAUUUGUUGAAUUUAAGCUUUCUUUUUUUAAUAAUAUAGCCAUAGAUUUGUCUCUACAGAGUCAAAGGAGCCCAUGCCAUCAGGGGUGGAUCUAGAGUUUAGGUUAUGGUUCGGCUGGACUCACUAGUUUUGGUCUAAAAUUAUAUUUGUCUUAAGAAUCCAUUGAAUACAUACAAAUUAUUAACUUAGAAAUCAUUCUCGAAUCCAUAAGCUUCAAAUUCUGACUCUGCUUCUGCAUGCCAUUCAUUAAGUUGAUUGUGCUCGGAAUGUCCUGUGACAUUCUUAGCAGCAGGCCACCUUGCUAUUCAUUUUCUUAUUGUUAAUUCUUGUUAGGAUAAAGGAUUUGAAGAUGCAAAAAAGGUUGUUGCUGCUCUAAAAGAUAAAGGUAUAUGUACAAUUGGAGCUGCAGGAUUUUGCUGGGGUGGAAAGGUGGUUACUGACCUAGCUAUGUCUCAUGACUACAUUCAAGCUGCAGUGCUAUUGCACCCAUCAUUAGUCACGGUUGAUGAUAUUAAAGAGGUUAAGGCACCAAUAGCUAUUUUAGCUGCUGAGAUAGAUCCAAUCUCUCCUCCGGAGCUUAUUAAGCAGUUGGAGGAGAUUCUAUCAUCAAAACCCAAGGUGGACAGCUUUGUCAAAAUAUUUGCUGGUGUUGAGCAUGGGUGGACAGUGUGAUACAAUGUGGAAGACAAAUAGGCAGUGAAGAAUGCUGAAAAAGCCCACAAGGACAUGUUAGAUUGGUUUUGCAAGUAUGUCAAGUGAGUGCGCGCAAAGAUUACCUUCUGCCACUUGCAAAUUGCAAUUUCAAGUUAACAAGUCUUAAAAUUCUGCCAUAAGAAAAAUGACAAGCUAAUCAUUGGUCUUGUUAUUUCUCUGCGUGAUUUAUAGGAAGUUUGGUUACUAUCACUUGUAAAAAAAUUGAACUUCAUUACAAUGUGCUUGAAUAUUCUCAUGCUUUAACUCGGCCUAUUUUUGUUUAAAUUUUAUUUUCGCAUUAAAGA